GGUAAGUGCAAGGGGGGACGGCAGAGGUGUUGUAUCUGGGCCACAAGGUGGGGAGCGGCUGCCCAAGCCCAGAGCUGGCCAAGGCCAAGAUGGGUGCUCUUAACCAAGA